ACCGCCGCCCCACCUGUGCCUUCCGCAGCUCGGGCGCUUCGGCGUCGCCCCGAGAGCUCCCAGCCCGGCCGCGGCGCCCAGGGCCGGCUCCCUCACGCGACGCGCUCCGCCCGGGGUACCCACGGCCCGCCCGCCGGCGGCUCCCAAGAUUCUUCUAAAAAAUAAUGCAUUCUCUAACAACAGUGAAGAAUUGGAAGAGCACAAGACAGCUAUGUAAAGAUGAAGACAAAGAAUGAUGUUGAGAGAAUCCAUGAACUGAACUAAAUUGGGGAAAGCAACGGCUCAGAACUAGAGGUGUCCUUGAGAAUGUAAGCUCCUGGGGAACUUGUGGACAUUUUGAAGAGGACAUCAGAUUUUCUAUAAGAGGUAAAGAUGGAGGUUCAAAGCAGAUGUCAAUGCCCUCCAUCAAAGACCACCAAGAAUACACUUGAAGUUUUAACAGCCUGGGUUUAUUGUUCAUUGAAAGUGAGGGAGAACACAUGCCAUGGGGAGUUAUGAGACAUCUCAGUGAAAGGGUGUUAGAAAAGACUUAUAGGAUUUGGGAUUGUGUAUGGUGAUUUUGGAGUUGGUGUAAGGAAGCAGGGGUUUGCUCUGGAUUGGGUACUAUCAGGAGUAGGGGUCAUUCUGGAUAGAGGAUCUUAAAUCUUAGCUAGGAGGGAAGACUAGAGCCACACCAAAUCUAUAAUUAGUAAAGAAGCAGCAAUCACUCCUAUUAGCCAAGAUAGAGGGAUGUUUGGCCAUUUUUGUGAUUUGGACAACAACUAUGUGUGUUACUUGCAACAAAGCAAAGUGAAUUUACAAACAUCCGGAAAGAGUGAAACCCUGAGAAGUUUCUAGUAAGCAAGGAAAGGUAAAUGGAAGUUAAUUGGACAGUAUACAUUCUUUACUAAAUUGAAAUGUGUGAAAUAUUUUAUAUGUUAUUGAUUCAGUAUAUUAAAUGUGUUUUGUUUUAUUUGGGGAAGUGUAAAAAAUAUAAACGCUUUUAAAGACUCAGUUUUAAUCACUAUCCCAUAAACCUAUUUUCCCCACAAACUUUUAAAUAAUGUAGACUCCUCCUCCAGCUGACAAAGGCAACUGUCCCUUCCCUGAUAAAGGCCAAGCUUUGCAGAUUUUCAGAGUUGCUGAUACUGUUGGGGGUCUGAGUCACCAUCAAGCUAUGAUCUG